rnacentral:rRNA from 1 species
AUUGAACGCUGGCGGCAGGCCUAACACAUGCAAGUCGAGCGGAGCGGCGGACGGGUGAGUAAUGACUAGGACUCUGCCUGGUAGUGGGGGAUAACGUCCGGAAACGGGCGGUAAUAACGCAUACUCUCAGUUGGGACUAGGUCGGAUGAGGUAGUUGGUGGGGUAAAGGCCUACCAGGGCAGCGAACCGUAACUGGUCUGAGAGGAUGAUCAGUCACACUGGAACUGAGACACGGUCCAGAAUCCUACGGGAGGCAGCAGUGGGGAAUAUUGGCCAAGGGGCGAAAGCCUGAUCCAGCCAUGCCGCGUGUGUGAAGAAGGUCUUCGGAUUGUAAAGCACUUUAGGUUGGGAGGCGGUACCAACAGAAUAAGCACCGGCUAACUUCGUGCCAGCAGCCGCGGUAAUAC